AUUGGUUAAUGUGCGAAAGCGCGAACCAGCAACGCCGCGUGUGCGAUGAAGGCCUUCGGGUCGUAAAGCACUUUUUGCGGGGAAGAGGAAGGACGGUACCUGCAGAAUAAGUCUCGGCUAACUACGUGCCAGCAGCCGCGGUAAAACGUAGGAGACGAGCGUUAUCCGGAUUUACUGUGAGUAAAGCGCGUGAAGGCGGCAUGGCAAGUUGGAUGU
rnacentral:rRNA from 1 species